CUUCAUUACAGCACAGACUGCCCAAAGCAAUGGGAGAUUUCAAACACGUCCAUGAAAAAAAAAUCAAGAGAAGUGAACUCAUCCUGGAGGUUUUAAUUAGAGUGACUGCAGGUGGCAGGUCGCUGGGCUGCGGCCUCUCCCAGGCUCUUCAAGGGCACUGCAGCUCUACAGCUACUUGGGCUCAAGUUGCAGGUAGGGAGAGGUCAUGCAUCUUAAAAGAAAGAGAGAGAGAAAAAAAAACUAAACAGUGGUAAUGUUGAUUUAGCUGUCUGGUUCACCCUGAGCCUCUCAGGGUUUGCAGCGAUGGUUUCCUCACCGAUAUUCACUAGAUGGUGCUCUGCACCCUUGGCAAAUGGAUGUGAUGUGAUGCAUUGGAAUGGAGCUCGGUCAUCGCAGGUCAGCGGGGCAGUGGGCAUCAACAGCGGGGGUUGCAGCCUCGUUAACUCCUGCACGAGUGCCAAAAUAAUCCAUGCAUGAGCACCUGAUUAUUGUUUGUGCAUGAACACUCAUCUAACUCAUGCAUGAGUGCUCAAUUAAUUUAUGCACAAGAGCUCAAACAGCUCGUGCAUAAGCACCAAAUUAAUUCAUGCAAGAACAACCGAUUAAUUCGUUCACAAGAACCCAAUUAGCUGAUGCAUGAGCACCCAAUUAAUUUAUGUAUGAGCCCAAUUACUUCAUGCAUGAGCACCCACAGAGCUCAAGUACGAGCAACCAAUGAAUUCCUGCACCAGAGGAAUCCAUGCAUUAGCACCAAACCCACAUGCAUCCACGCUCCCUCUUUGCUUUUGCAUGAGCACCCAAUGAAUUCACACAUGGGUACUGGUUAGUCCAUGCACAGUGCCUGUUCAGUUUGGGCAUGGACUGCAAAGGUCCACCCUGCAUUGGAGACCUUGCAAAGCCCACACCAGAUUUGGGACCUCUGAUCACCUCUAAGGCCCACAGCCCCACCAGCUACAUGGUGACCCCGUUCUGCAAGGCAGCUCUUGAGCAUGGGCACAAACACGAGCUAUUUAUUCUCUCUAAUUCAUGUCUUGGGUCUCUUAAGUUCAAUUAUUUCCAGUCCAGUCUGUUUUUUUAAGCUGUUAGAACAACAUCAAGAGAAACCAAGUCUCUAGAUCACAUCACCAUCACUUCCUGCACUCCAAACUGGACCCAUCCCAAGCAAGCAAGCUCUUUUCUCAAUGGGUUAAGUACCGGGCAAGCAUCCUUAAGCUCAUUUGUUCCCAAAGAGGCAAGAAAAAACACAGCUUUCCUGCGUGGAUAUUCAGGGCUUGGAGGUGAAGAGUGCAGGGGGAGCCCAUGGCACACUCAUGGGGCUGCUGCCUGCUGCUGCCAGGGCUCUGCUGGGGCAGGGUCAGGACCCUGGGCUCCUCCAGCAUCAUUUUCCCACAUGUUCAGCCCAUGUGUGAGUUGCACCCAAGCCUGCGACUCCGCGCCGAGAUGCCUUUGGCAGAAGGAGCUGUGCUAAUCUCUCGACACGGGGCUGUCCCGGCUCUGCACAGAUAAAAUAAAUAUUUAGCUUUAAAACAUCUAACAGUUUUCAAAGGGCUCGGGAUGGCCCAAGCCUGUUUAGACUGCAUGCAUAGCAAAGGGUGCGUAUCCCUUUCAUCAUUGCUGUAUGUCUCUGGCGCUUUUAUCCAGUGAUCUUCACCAUGCUCCCCAGAGAGGUUGCUCCUGUUCCCUUCUGAAGGAGUGGUGAGGCAGUGGCACAGCUGCCCAGGGAGUGGGCAGGUCACCAUCCCUGGAGGCAUCCAUGAGCUAUGAAGAUACGGCACUGAGCAACGUGGUCAGUGGGCACGAUGGGGAUGGGUUGGGGUCCGACUUGGUGAGCUUAGUGGUCUUUCCCCAUGAUUCUGAGUCUAUCCUAUGACUCUACUUCUCCUCCCUGGCAGCCUCAAUUUAAUUUUGUUUUAUUCCAGCUUGCACCCUGCACUGGCCUAAGAGAGACACACAGGCUCUUGCCAAGGCUUGGAAUUAUUGGUUUUAGAAACAAACCCAUUUUUUCAGGCUUUGGGUUCUUAAUGCCAUCAGCUUUCCAAGAAUUUUUAAAUCCAGUAAAAUUCACCCCAUCCCAUAAUUGCUCAUGGAAACAAAGGCCAGGCGGACUAUUUGUGCCAAAAAGUUGGCAGGCUCGUGGCUUCGUGAAACGCAGCGUUGUUGGAAGAGUGAUCUGUUGUGGGGGAAAAUGCACAUCAUUGGUAUUUCUGGUUCUAGAAAACAAGUGGAAACAAGGCAUUUCAGAAAGAAACAACCUUUAAAAAUAGCACAUAGCAAAUGGGAAGGCUUACACCGCUAGUUUUCAGCCCUGCUCUCCCCGCAGCUAAAAGGAAAGGGGCAGGCAGGGUGAUGAUAUUUUUAGGCUCCUGUUCCUGCCAUGGAUGCAAGGAAAGCUGCUUUUCCCAAUGCUGGCAGGGAGCACUGUGCUGUGGGAAUGUCUGCCUGCCCCAGCUCCAGGGAAUGGUGGUGGAAGGCAGCUUGGAGCCAGCAGCUUGUUUGUGAGGGGCCAUCCCAGGGGCUCACUCAGCACCAGCAUUUCAUGACAGUCAUCAGGGGAUUCCUUGCUGGGAGGUCUGCACAAGAUGAACGUGGUGCUACAGCACUUAUAAUGAGGAGUGAGGAGCUCCUUUCAGCUCGUUUAAAGCCAAGAGGUCCUAACCCUGCACCACAGAUAGCAAAGCAGAUGCAGGAAAAGUAGAAGUCAGGUCCCCUGUUAUAAGCAUGAUUUCCAAAAGUCAUUUACUUAGAGCUUCAUGCAGAGUUAGUAGAAGGGCUAGAUGUGGCAAUGGGCAUGGUGGGAACGGUUGGUGGUUGGACUAGAUGAUCCUAGAGGUCUUUUCCAGCCUUAAUGUUUCUGUGGUUGCAUGAAAAGUGUUGGCAGUUGCCGCUUUAUUUAAAAAUGUGAUGGAAUGACAAGAACAGCAUAAUACAGACUUUGCUCUUCAUUAAAUGUAGACAAUAACAUGUUGUUUUAGUAGAAUUCACCUUCGUAAUAGUACUGCAAGAUAUUCAGCAUUUCCAAGCACCAGUCAUCGAGGAAGACUUUCCAGACACCAACAAGGCACCAUCAAAUCUAGUAGGCACAGCAAAUAGAGGUGGAGGUCUGACAAUCCAGUCAGUACUCAUUCAGGCUUCCCAAAGUAAGCCCACAGUGGUGAAGCCACAUUAUAAAGCACUGAUCCAGGAAGAAUUCACUCUACCCCAGCUCAGAAUGCAAGAAGCGUUCCAUGAAGCAGCAGGCUCCACCCUCCAUCAGGUAUGGUGGUGUCUGAAUGGCUGAUCUCCCAGCAGAAGGGCUGCAAGGAGGCAGUGACCAACUGGGCACAGCUCAGGACAAGUAGCCCACUGCUCCCAUAUCACCUGGAUCUCCCCUGUCUGAAAGGAGGAGUGGGGUAGGGGACACAGAUCUGCUGUUACUUUGGGGCCAUGGAUGGAGGCACCGACACAGUGACAAGCUUCAGUAAGAAAGUCACAGAGAUAAUACUGUGUGCCGAGAAAUGAACAGGUUGUCAGUUCCUAGAGUUAGAGCAACCUGAAAUAGGCCGAAGACUUGCAGCUGUGUCAGAAGUAUUCAGCCAUCCCUCCUCCCAUGCCCACCAUAGCUCCCAGGAAAGGGGUGAGGGAAAAAAAAAAUCUUGCCCACACAUUACACAGCUUCUGACUGCCCCAGUGUAGAGGUUGAAAGAUUACUGAGGCAGGUUUCAGACAGCAGUCCCUCUGACCAGAGUUCUUACAUCAAUACUACCGUAUGAGUCCAUUCAUCCUUUUUCCCCCACAACUCUCAUCCUUCAACAUCCAACUUCUCCC
ensembl:lncRNA